rnacentral:lncRNA from 1 species
AACCAGUCACUAAAAAAGCAUCAAAACCUGUAGGAAACAAGACAGAGAAACCUCAAGACAAGAAACCUAAUAUAAAAAGUCCGGGACUUUCUCGUGACCCGAGUCUCGAAAUCAAGGAAACAGUGGAGGAAUCGCAGUCUUACUUCCCGGUGAAGCAAGUUGAUGAACUUCUUCCUACUGCUUCUUCUGUUGAUGACUUCAAAGACAUUAAAGAGAUGCAUAGCUUGCCGAAUGAAACCAUCACGGAAAUAUAUGUACUCUUUGUAUUAUUGAGAGUAACAUUUCUUUAUGAAAGUAAUUUAUUAGACCUUUUCGAUUGAAAGGAGAGGCCCAAAGCUGCAUUCUCUUUACUCGAGAAUAGAUUCAAUUUGUAUGGAAACUAAUGAAUUUAGGUAGUUUAUCUUACAAUUGUUGAACUUUGAGUGGAUUAAACUCCUCUUAUUGGAGUAUAUGUUAUACAUUGUGUGUCGUUGGUCUAUCUUAAUCUUUCUACUAUAACCUUUGUACACACGAGCAGUUGAAUUUCUACUUCGAUGACACCGUUACGUACGCAUCAUAUUACUCUUUCUUUCAAACUCUUACUCUCAAUUUUAUCUUUUCGUUUUAUAAAUAAACGAGUUUUACUAGCGCUUGAUUUUCGGAGAUAAUAUUAUCAAGAAAAUCUAAUAUUCUACAAACUUACUAUUUAUAUUUUAAAACCAUAUUAUUAUCAUUUUUCAUAGUUGGACUUGGAAUCUACGUAUCAUAAUUUUUUUUAAAAAAAAUAGUUUCUAUAUAGAAAAAAUUAUAUGAUUCAAGCUUCAAUGCUUAAUAUUUUAAACUUCGGAAUAAUGAUUGUAUGUAUGAUUGUUAACCGGUUUGAAAACGUGAAUCGAAGAGAUCUAUGAACAGAAUUAUAUUUGUGACUUUAACUAUCUUCGAAAUUCUAAGUCUCUAACCAAUAAUCCAGUCUUUACCUCUUCAUUGUGGCUCUAUAAAAAUCAUUAUUUUGUAAAAUAUCAUCAUUUUUGUCUCCAAAAUUUAAAUGCCUAAAUAACUGAAAACAAUACAGUUAAAUGAUCUAGAAACUUCGUCUUUCUAAUGUAUUCACUAGUAAACUUGCAAUCUAAUUAUGUGGUACUUCUUUCAUGUCAAGGACUAAGUUUUCAAAGGCAUAACCUAAGCACAACCCUCUGAUAUAUUUAUAGAGUUCCGAAACGACGUCUUUGAUGACCGUUAGCUGAGACAACUUUCGGUGGUUGCAACCCCCAUAUGAAAUCAAGAAAAUGGUCCAAAACUUUUGUGGCCACUCUCCUCUAUAGUUUUACUUAUCCCUAACAAAAGUAUUUUACAAUAAAUGUCCUCACAUAUGGAGUUUACUACCGAAAACAUUAGGGAAAUGCAAAGGAGAAGAAGUUGAAGAAAUGAUUGCAGAGACGGGGAUGCUGAUGGUAGGCGUUCUGGGAAUAUGGGCGCGACUUGUUCGGAAGCCACUGCUUGAAUUCACCGGAGAAGUUAUUCAAGUUGCCUCCGAAGUCGUGUCUAGGAUUGGUGUCCCUGAUACAGCUUCCUAUGUUUCUCUUUCUUCUAGUACAAACAACUCUUCACCUCCCAUCUCCCGAAGAAGGUGAUAUGAAAAUGUAUAGAUGAUAAGAUGUUAUGUAGAAGAAACUCAGGGAUACAGAUAUAGGUUUUGCAUUUCAUAUUUGUAGGUUCUCAACUAUAUAUAAGUAUACAUAUUUUAAUACGUUAAAUAACUGAUCUGGAACAGUUAUAUUUACAAUUAUAUUUACAAGAGUUUGAAGAAUGCUAAUUAAGGAAUCAUACUUUAUGUUGGUAGCAUUCUUUCAAACUCUACAGACUCUUGUAGACUACAUGGUUUGAGUGCAUGACUGGUGUUAGUGAUGUCUCGUGUUCCUCUAUCUACAUCAGCUGAAAGCUCAACCGCAGUAGACUACUAGAGCAUAGGCGGGAAACGACCUCUUAGGGCGUCAUAUUUUAAGCAAAAAUUUUAGUCGUACGUAGGGCAUAAUAGUUUUUUACAUAAAUAACAAAUGCAUAAAGUUUUAAGUGAGUUUAGGACGUCAAAGAAAAAAUUGAAAAAAUUGAACCAGCACUGAAAGUCGAGACAUCUCCAAAAUGAUUAGUGAGCAAAUUUUAUACCAAUCGUUGACCAUAUGUGACGAGAACGUGAUAUCAGCCGAGAAUGUGUUGUUGGGAAUUAUAAGAAGCGGACGGUCCCGUCUCCACUAGACUACUUUAGAUCCAGCGAAUAACAUGAUAUGCAAGUUUUUCAUAAAAGUACUUCAGAUACAAAGAAGGCUUUUCUUCUUAGCACGUUUACGCCCAAACUAAUGAUUUGUUACGGGCGAUUUCGUUCGUGUCGUUUGAUGGGCCUUUAAGCUAAUUAAAUUACUAAUCUGGUGAGAUUUCCUUACAUUCUUUGUGUUCAAACCUACUGCUAAGACCAAGUGAACUGAACCAAAAUUGUAUGUAAAAAUUGACAUCAAAUUGUAAUUCAGAUGAUUCACUGUUCCUUUAAUAGACAUUUAAUCCGACAUAAUUCCAAAUUCUUUUAUAAAAAAUACAGAAUUCAAACAACAGCCAAAACUAGUGAUCAUAUAAUAACUUUUAAUGGCUACUACUCUUUUGUUUUUUUUUUCCGAAAAAUGCCUACUACUCUUUUGUUGUGAUUAAUCAUCUUUUGGACGACAAAAAUUAUCUCUUGGAGCAACAGAGAAAAUAUAUUGUAUAACGUCAGAAAAGUAUCAGCAUUUAAUCUAUUUGUUCAGAUAAUGAAAAUGUUAGAAAAUAUCAAGAAGAAAAUAAUGAAUCUUCUUCAUUUCUCGAUAUCCUUUGACAAGAAGUAUAAGAAGACAAGUAGAUACAAUUGAUCAAUCACGUGACCCACAUUAAUAAUAACCAUAAUAAUGCCUAAUAACUUCUUGUAUAAUUAUUACAAACAGAACUUCCCUAUGACUAUUCUUGAUAUUGAGUUGGUUCCAAGUUCCAACUAGCUUAUACCUUUUGGUCAUAGUCUUGUGAUAUCAUUUAAUGAAGCAUCUGUUCUAACCAACAGAUGAAAUUUCUCGGUGAUUAGCCACUUUACCAUCAUUAAUGAUUUAUACAUUCCAACCUUAUACACACCUUUUAUCCAACAAAACAAUACUUCUUCCGUUUCUAGUUUCUAAAAAUAAUUCUUUUUAGAAUUUAUUCUUGUUCCACAAAAAUAGAUUUUCUAUAUUUUAAAGUAUUUUUGUAUAUUUUUGAUAAACACUAAUUAUAAAUAUUUGAAUUGAUUAAAGUUUAUUAGUGGAUAAUUAUUAGAAAGUGUAUUGAAAAAUAAAUUGUAAAUAUUUAUUAUAUUUUAAUAAACGUAAAAUUUCUAGAAAUUUUUAUUUUGAGAAACGGAAGGGGUAAUUAAAUUUGUGUAUUUCGUAUUUUAAACAAUUAAUAUUCGCAAGUCUAGAUAACUGAAUUGUGGACGAUAGUUUUUUUUUUUUCCGUCAAUAGUUGAUUUUAUAACUUAAUGGGCCAAGCCCAGAAUUACAAAAAAAAAAGGCCCAAAGCCCACCAAACGAAACCCUAGAGACGGUGCCUCCGUUCGCUCACGGCGUGCCCCCGCUUCCAGCCAUCACCGGUGAUCAAUCCAGCGAUCCACCGGCAGAACCAUCACUCACUGGCUUCCAAACCUCAUCGCCGCAAACGCUUCCAAACCGCGAGUUCCCAAUAGUGGAGAGAGUCAAUCGGUAAACCGAGAUCUCAUCCGCCUCCUUUCGUCACCGGAACUGGGAGGAAAGCUUCGCCGGCACAACCAAACCUUCAACAUCGGAUAGCUUCGAUCGUCUUCCGACGAGAACUCCUCCAACAAGACCAAACCGAAACCGCAAAAACCAAAGAUAAAAAACAACAAACCCUAACAACCCUAGGGGACUAAAAGCCGGCGGCGCAAGGCAAAGAACACCUUCACCCCCCGGAAACUGAAGCCGGCGAAAGCGGAGCUAACGAAGCCUCCGCCUCCCGGAAACUAGACCGGCGACGAUGGAUCUGAAGAAGCCUCCACCUCCCGGGAAACCCUAACCUGACAAACCGACAACACCCCACCUCACCCUUCACCCAGUCGCGUCGUUACUCCAGCCACCGCGCCACCGCGUGUGUCUGGUCACUCCCCGAGUUGACCACACCAGAUGGGAACUGGACAGAGCUCCGACAAAACGAACUGAACAGGAAGAGGAGGUGAAAAAAGAAGCCGGGGAACGUUUUUAACCAAAAGAAAAUGGACUCCGGCGACGGCACGGACGCUCACGCACCGGCCGUACGCCGGACCCGAAACCAGAUCUGCUCUCUCUCUCUACUUCUCUCUGCUGCUUUUUUUGUGGACGAUAGUUUUUUAGACUGAUGUAAUAAAUAGUAUUUUCUUUAAAUUUAGUUUUAUCAGCCUAGUGAGUGGUGGUUGUCGUGUUAGCAUCGGAAUCACAUAUCGUAGUGCAACAUCCAUGGCAAGAAGUUAUAAAAAGAAAACAUCCGUGGUAAGAUAAUUAAAUUUGCAUCACUUUAUAACUUUUUCAUCAAAACACAAUACACGAUUCAUCAAUAUACAAUAACUCCUUCAGAUUCGUUUUUUUUGUGUAGCAAUUAAGAACUUUAAGUAUAUGGGCAAACACUACUACUUCAUCACGAUCUUCUGCACCAAGUUCGAAUCAUUCUAUACCUCACAUGGUUUGAUAUAUCUAUUAAAUAAUUGUGUAACUCGAUUGUUUCCCCUCCAAGCUAAGAAAAAAAUAAUAAAUAUAGUAAACUUCAUAACACAAUCAUUUUGGUAAUAUAGUUUCGAUUAUAAUGUUUAUCUAAGUAACUGUUACUGUCAUCUGUCACUCUUAGUAUCCAAGUUUUGACCAAUUUGAGUGAUCUAACAUGUCAACUAACACUUUUAUUACAAAUAAAACACUUGUUUAUUCAAAUUAUAUACUAUUUUCUAUCGUAAAUUGCAAACAUUUUAAUAUUGUCAUUUAUCAACUUGCGCUGUUUUCUUAUUCUCGCCACUACUAGCACAAAAGUUGAGACUUGUAAGAAACACACACAUCUACCAAACUUCGAUGCCAUGUACCAAUUUACAUAAAUGAAAUACAGACAUUUUGGCUAGUUGAAAAGAUUCUCUUUGGACAGAUGACUAAUUUAGUCGCCGGUGUCUCAAAGUUAGAGCAAAGUAGACAUGUAUUGGAAAACUGAAAAACGAGAGCCUCCUGUAAUGCGCUGAAAUCAGCUUGUUUCAGGGUUUCGCAUCCCUUAUAUACUAAAGUACAAGUCACUCAACCAAUUAUAUUUUGACACAUAAUUAAUUUUUUUCUUUUCAAAAAAAAUUAAUAAAAACAAUAGAAAAAAUUAAAACAGUUUAUUAUCCACGUAAAACAAAAGAGAAAGCAAAAUUGUUCUAACUGCCUCAAGCAUUACAUCACGAUCUCAACUCCCUACAUUACAUCAGUUUAAAUGACCACUAUAAUCACUCUGAUAACAAAUUUGCUUACAAAAUUAUUCCAAAAAGUUUAACUUCUUCCACAAAAUAACCAAUGCUUUCAUAUUUCCUAUAAUUUGACUUUCUUAUCUUACAGAAAGUUUUUUUUUAUUGUAACUGUUCUUAAAGAAAGUUUUUGAAGUUGCAGAAACAAUAUCGGAUGGAUGUUGUGUACAAAAUGAUUUUGGAAAAGAAGAAAAGAAAGUUAAAAAGGCUUUAGGAAAUUCACUGUUUGUCAGUGGUGUAGAUGAGUUCCUGUAGUAGUUAAAUGAGUAAGUGAUCUCAGCAUUUAAUUAUCUUGCGUAUACAAUUUUGAAUUCAUUUUCGUUUUUUUUUUGAUGUGCAGAGAAGUCGUUUUGUUACAACGUCUUCACGUGACAAGUUUAUUCCUUGAACCAAAGCUCCUCGACUGAAACUUAGCUCUAUUCUCUAUGUUUCAGAUUGUAGUGAAGAAGAGUGAGAUGAUGAGAAGAAGAGACUUCAAAAUUACAAGGAGAUUGUCUGCAUAAAACAAGUUAUGUUCUGGGAUGAUGGUUGAAGAAGAAUGGAAGAGAAGGGAGACUCCAAGAUACAAGAGACUUUCACUGCUCAUAUUUUGAUUAAUAGGUCAGAUGCAUAAUCUCUUAGCCAUCUUUUAACCAUUCAAAACAUGUAUAUUCUUGAGUAUAUUUUGAAUUUGGUUAAAAAUAAAGUAAAUAAAAUAUAAAGAUUAUUAGUUAAAUAUGUUCGUAUGUUAAAUUAUUAGUAUAUACUAUAUCAUAUUUUGAUCAUAUCUAUAUUAUGCAAUAUUUCUUUCACUAUAUUUUACUAAUAGAUAAACUAAUAUAUCAUGCUAUCAUCAAUUUUUUUUCUUCUAAUUAAAAACUAAAUUUCUUCUAAUUUACUUUGAUGUAAAAUAAAAAUUAAAUUGUGUAACAACACAGUUAAGUUGAACUAAAAAGAGAGUUUUGCUAUUAAUUAUGAAAAAAGAAAAAUAACAUUUUAAUUUUAUUAAACACAAUGAAGAGUACCCCGUGCGUAGCACGGGUUGAACAUACUAGUUAGAUUAUAAUUGAAUGUGAUUUGCGAUGAAUAAGGAGAUGAAGAAAUUUGAUAGACUAUACUUCCAUUCGUUUCAGAGAAAAGUAUAAUUUUAAAAAAUUUCACAUAUAUUUUUAAAAUGACAACAUUAAUUUAUGUUUUAAUUAUAUUUUUAAAUUAAUAGUAUUUUAAUGCAUUGUAUAAUUAAUAUUAAAUUUUAAAAUAAAAAUAAAUUAUAUUAGAAUUUUAUAAAUAAUACUUUGGAAGGAAAAAUAUCAAAAUAACAUUUUUAUGAAACAAAAAGUAUUAGAUGAAACACAGUUCAGUGAAGUCUUCCGGGAACUUAAUCAGAAACUUGCAAAACUGAUUUGAUUAACUAAUAGUAGUAUCCUACAUCAAACCCUGACUUUAUCCAUUAAUAUGUAUUAAUGAUCCUUAAUCAUCCUUUAAAAUCUUGCGAAGUUUGGUAAAAUUAAGGAAAUUACAUGUUGCAAGACAAAUAAAAUAUUUUAAGUACAAGUAAACAGUCAAUAUAGAAGUCUGUGUGUUAUCGGGUGAAGUGGGUGUGUCGGCGUACAGAACGAAGGGACCCAUAUGGGGCAUAUGAUUAAAUCAUUUAUUAAAUAUUAAAUAAAUGAGAAUAGAAAAAAAAAGAAAAAAAAAGAGAAAGAAUCAAGCAAACCUUCUACUACUAAUGAAACUCUCUCUCUCUCUCUCUCUCUCUCUCUCUCUCUCUCCUCUUUCUUCUUCUACAUGUGAAUAUCUGAGCUUCAAGUAGUGCAUGUGCUCGCUAUUGGAUCUCAAAUCAUCGUUUCUACAGCUUUUACUUCUCUAUCUCUUAGCUGUCACGAAACAUUCUCUUUCACUUCUCUCUCUCUCUGCUAAAAUAAAUCAGAAACAUAUCAACAUUCUUGAACAGAGCCAUAAGUUCUUCAACUGAAUCUUAAAUUAACCCAUCUUCUGUGUUUGUUUGUUGGAUCUUUAAAUGGAUCCAAGAACAAGACUUGACUAUGUUCUGUUUCAACUCACACCCACCAGGACAAGGUAAGUUCUAAACCUCAAAACGCUACUUUAUUUAUUUCUUUCUUUUUUCUUAACCAUGUUUGAUUCUCUGUUUUUAUUUUUGUCUUUUUGCUGUCUGAAGAUGCGAGCUCGUGAUUUUCUCCGGUGGCGAGAACGAGAAGCUUGCUUCCGGGAUUUUUCAACCGUUCGUCACGCAUCUCAAAAGCGUAAGAGAUCAGAUUUCUAAAGGCGGAUACUCCGUCACUCUCCGUCCUUCCUCCGUCAACGGCGGCGUUAAUUGGUUUACCAAAGUGACGCUUCAGAGGUAAAGAAAGCUCUCUCCGUCUUCUAGUAAUCAUUUUGUCUGAGAAUGUACUAAAAAAACUUUUGCUUCUUGGUUUAAAGAUUUGUGCGAUUCGUGACGACUCCGGAGGUUCUUGAGAGGUCCGUGACAUUAGAGAAGGAGAUUGAGCAGAUCGAGGAUUCGAUUCAGUCUAAUGCAGCCGCUAUUUCCGGCGAAGCAGAAGGUAACAUCAUGUUGAUGUUCGGACACAGACACAUGCUUUAUGUUAUUAAAACAUGAACCAGGGAUUUUGCAAUUUGUUGUUUUGACUAAUAUUUUUCCAACGUUCUGUAUAUAGGAAACGAGUUGGGUACUACUCAGAAGUCUACAGCUUUAUUAAAGGUGAUUCUUAUAAAAUGCUUAAAAGCGGAGUUCUUGAUUAAUGUUUCAGUUGGUUAUUGACUCUGUUUGUAUGUAUUAGGCACAAGGUGAAUCUGAUGGCCAAGAAAAUUCUAAGUAAGUUCUAGUAUAGCCUUCCUUUGUUGUUAUUGUCUUGAUCGGUUAUGUGAAGUAGAUUAUUGAUCCUGACAAGCCGUGAAAUGAAUGUAACAGGGUUGGUCUUCAGCGUGUUCUUGAAACCCGCAAAGCUGCUUUGUGCAAAGAGCAAGCCAUGGCUUACGCUAGAGCUUUGGUUGUUGGGUUUGAAUUGGACUACAUGGAUGAUCUCUUGUCCUUCGCAGAUGCUUUUGGAGCUUCGCGUUUAAGGUAACUAACUGAACCAAGAACCAUCCAUGUCCUUGUUUGCAUUUGUAUGAAGAUGGUGAAUAAUCACUUUUGUGUUGCGUUCAGGGAAGCAUGUGUUAACUUUGUGGACUUGUGCAAGAGAAAGAACGAAGAUAGGAUGUGGGUGGACCAGAUCACAGCUAUGCAAGCCUUUCCCAGGCCUGAGCUAUCCUUCAUGGGUGACUCUGGGAUCAUACUCGCUGGGGAAGAGAAUGAUAACGUCAAGCAAGGGAACAACAGCAUGGAUGCAAUGAGCCAGGGUAGCUUUGAGACUAGCCAAGGUCCUCCUCAGAUGCCAAUGCCUUGGCCAAACCAUUAUCCUCCUCAGUACAUGCAAGGACAUGGCUAUCCUCCUUAUAUGUAUCCCGGCCAGCCACCGUAUUUCCCACAAUGGCCUGUAAACAUGGGAGGAGAUGUGGAGACAAGUGAGAAGACUUCCAAGAAGAAAAAGAAGAAGAAGAAGAAGAACAAGAAGAAGUAUGAAUCCUCCGAGGAGCAAAGCGAUGAGUCCGGUGCUGAGACCGUAUCAGAGGACGGAGAUGAAGGGAAGAAAUCAUCUAGAAAAGUUGUUAUACGCAACAUAAACUACAUAACUUCAAAGAGAAACGGAGCCAAGGAUAGCGAUUCCGAUGAGUCUGAAGACGAAGAAGAAGAAGGCUUUGUGGAUGGAGACUCCAUCAAGCAGCAAGUGGAGGAAGCUAUUGGCUCACUGGAGAAACGGCAUAAAUCAACUUCACGCCGUAGUAGGAGGAAGCACAAAAGCCACAGUGAAGAUGAGGAGGAUUCAGGUAGUAAAGAAACCAAAGGGAAUGAUAACUGGGAUGCUUUCCAGAACCUUCUUUUAAAAGACAAAGAUUCAGACCAGGAAACAGCUUCGUGUCCGGUGAACAUGGAGUCAGAAGUUAUGAGCAAGAGAGAGCUGCCUUCGGAUGAUUCUUUCUUGAUUACAAAUGGGAAUGAGGAUUGGGGGAGAGAGAGCAGUGUCAAGAAACUUGAUGCGGGUGAGAAUGUUAGGCUGAUGAGAAGAGAGAACAACUACGACGAUGAGAUGAUGAAUCCAGGGAGAGGAGAUGAGCCAAGAAGCUACUCACAGGCAGAGAUGGCUGUUUAUAAUGGGAAGCUCCGCGCUAGAAACGAGACAGAGGAAGACUGGUUCAUACGUAACCAAGCAGAUACUGAAAGAGAUGUCAAAACCUUUGUAGGAGACGAUUUGCAUGUAACAAAGAGAAGUGUUGAGAGAGAUGUACUGACCGAUGACUCGUUCAUGAUCCAUUCUCGUGUUGAGAGCCAAGUGGAAGAGUCUCGGUUAAGGACAGAGAUCAUGGACUCUGACGUUUAUGGAACCACCAAACAAGAAAACUCCUCUGCACCGGAGAUUAACAACAGACAAGAGCCGGAUGAUCUUUUCAUGGUUCUUGGACGUGAACAAGAUGUUACACCUGCAAUGGUAUCGUGGACACCUGAGAUUGACUUCGAGACCAACACUUUGGCUCAAGAGAAAAGGAAAGCUGAUUUGGAAACUGCUGCAAAGGCCUCUGAACAGACUUCAGAUGGUAAAGAAAAGAAACUUCGUGUCGUUAGAAAGGAUGCAAAGACAAGAGGACCAAGUAGACCUGACCCGGCUUUGAAAGCUAAGAGAGCUCCCUGGGGAAGUAGAGCAGCUGCCACCAAAACCAAAUCCGAGCUGGUAAAUUUCUCUUAACUAACAGCAUUUCAUUUUUCCUGAUUAGUUUCAUUCAUGGUUCUAAAAAAUCGGUUCAGGCAGCAAAUCAGUCUGAAAUGAUUUUCUUAAAAAUCUGAUUUAUACGAUUUCAAAUCGGUUUAAACCAGGUUAAACUGUUUUAAAUCGGCUUAAAUUGAUCUAAAUUAGUCUGAAUAUGUUAAAUUAAACAAUAAUGUUAGUACAAAUCUACAAUUUUGUCUAAUAUUUUUGUUAAUUCAUCAAAAUAGUUUUAUAAUUUAAAAUCAAAAACUAAAAUAUUAUAUAUAAAUGUAAAAUGUAUCUAAAAUAAAUCAGUAAUUCAUUAAUAGUAGCUAGUUUCUAUAAAAACACCUAAUUUACCACCUAACGAUUUCUUGAACAUGUCUCACUUGGAUUUGGUAUUUUGAUAGGAGGAAGAGAGAAAGAAGAGAAUGGAAGAACUUUUGAUUCAAAGGCAAAAGAGAAUCGCUGAGAAGAGUUCUGGUAGUAGUGUAUCAAGUCCCUUGGCCACCAAGAAAACUCCUACUGGAAACAAAACCGUGAAGACCUUGAUAAAGAAUGAGAAGACACCUGAAGCCGUGAAGGCUAAGCCGGUACUGAGAAGUUCCACCAUUGAGCGCCUUGCUGUUGCCAGGACAGCACCAAAGGAGCCACAACAGAAACCAGUAACCAAAAAAACAUCGAAACCUGUAGGAAACAAGACAGAGAAACCUCAAGACAAGAAACCUAGUAAAAAAAGUCCGGGACUUUCUCGUGACCCGAGUCUCGAAAUCAAGGAAACAGUUGAAGAAUCACAGUCUUACUUGCCGGUGAAGCAAGCUGAUGAACUUCUUCUUCCUGCUGCUUCUUCUGUUGAUGGCUUCAAAGACAUUAAAGAGAUGCAUAGCUUGCCGAAUGAAACCAUCACUAAUCAUCAGAAAGUACAAGAACAGACGAAAGUCGAUGAUGAGG